AAUAAGAUUUUAAUUGAAUGCUAAGAGAAUGGACUCUCAGAGAAAAACUUUUUUUAAAUUAAAAAUUGAAAUUUUUUUAAUUUGUGCAGAAACAAUUAUUAAUAUUAAGGACAAGAAGACCCUAUGAAUUUAUUAAAUUUCAUUCAAUAUGUAAUUACUAUUGAAGAAAUUUUGGCUGGGGCGGCUAAAAAAUAUUUUAAACUUUUUAAAAAUAAAAUGAUCCAUUAUUAAUGAUUAUAUGUUAAAUACUCUAGGGAUAACAGCGUUAUAUUUUUUGAUAGACCAUAUUGACAAAAAAGUUUGCGACCUCGAUGUUGGAUUAGGAUACUUUUUUAAUGCAGAUAU
rnacentral:rRNA from 1 species